rnacentral:rRNA from 1 species
ACACGACUACAUUAGAUACCCCUGUAGUCCAGGGUGUAAACGCUGCGGGCUUGGUGUUGGGGGUCCUUUGUGGGCGCCCAGUGCCGGAGAGAAGUUGUUAAGCCUGCUGCUUGGGGAGUACGUCCGCAAGGAUGAAACUUAAAGGAAUUGGCGGGGAGCACCGCAACGGGAGGAGCGUGCGGUUCAAUUGGAUUCAACGCCGGACAACUCACCAGGAGCGACGGUUACAUGAAGGCCAGGCUGAUGACCUUGCCUGAUUUCCG